rnacentral:rRNA from 1 species
CUAAAGCAUCCGUAGCCGGUUGCAUAAGUUUUCGGUUAAAUCUAUGCGCUUAACGUAUAGGCCGCCGAAAAUACUGUGCAGCUAGGGAGUGGGAGAGGUACACGGUACUCGAUAGGAAGGGGUAAAAUCCUUUGAUCUAUUGAUGACCACCUGUGGCGAAGGCGGUGUACCAGAACACGUUCGACGGUGAGGGAUGAAAGCUGGGGGAGCAAACCGGAUUAGAUACCCGGGUAGUCCCAGCUGUAAACGAUGCAGACUCGGUGAUGCAUUGGCUUGUGGCCAAUGCAGUGCCGCAGGGAAGCCGUUAAGUCUGCCGCCUGGGAAGUACGUACG